UCUCUUAUCAGAGUUCCCCUACACCCAUCCAGAUCUCACUCAGACCGGCUCAUCUUUCUGGUCAAAGGAUAGUAAAAGGAGAUCCUACCGCUUGCCCCAACAUUUCCUAAAGAUAUCACAAAAGCAGCAGUCUGCUCUGCCUCUCGGUCUUUCCACAGAAGGUCGAUGUUCUUCCUUCCCCCCUUCUGCUGAAGAGGAGUUGUUAUACGGCAAGAAAAUGGUUCCCUGGACAACAGUUCUUGAGAAGAUCUAAUUGACUUCCUCGAUUGGUAUUGGGUUGUGAUCGGUGGAAGGUGGUGGUGGUGUAGGAUUCAACUCUCAGAUGGAACCAAAUCAUUCUUUCUUGGUUCUUUGGAUAAUUCCACACAAUAAGAGGUUCUAAACUUUCCAAAGAGGAGAAGGGAAGAAAAGAAGCUGGCAAACAAGUGGUGGGAGAGAGCAGAUGCGGCGGCAAUGGCCGGAAUGGAGCCCGGCGGCGGCAGCGGAGGCUCUUCUCGCUACCUCCAUCACCUUCUCGGCCCACCGCAACAGCCUGCUGCGCCAUCGACCCACAUCCCACCCGAGGAAUCCAAGCCUUCCUCGGAAGAAAGCCCAAAUCUUUCGGCGGACCUGGGCGAAGGCGACGGCGAUCAACCCUCCACCUCCGCCGCGGUGGGAGGCCCCGUCCGACGCCCCCGCGGCCGGCCCCCGGGCUCCAAAAACAAGCCAAAGCCGCCUAUUAUCGUCACGCGCGACAGCCCCAACUCCCUCCACUCCCACGUGCUCGAGGUGGUCGGCGGCUCCGACGUAGUCGAGUGCGUCACUGACUACGCCCGGCGGCGCGGCCGUGGUGUCUCCGUCCUCAGCGGCUCCGGCGCUGUCGUCAACGUCGCAAUCCGCCAGCCCGGGGCGCUGCCGCCGGGGAGCGUGGUUGCGACUCUCAGGGGUAGGUUCGAGAUCCUCUCGCUGACGGGGACCGUCCUCCCGCCGCCAGCGCCACCUGGCGCCGGGGGUUUGACCAUAUUUCUCUCUGGAGGGCAAGGGCAGGUAAUCGGGGGCAGUGUCGUUGGCCCUCUGGUGGCGGCGGGCCCGGUGGUGCUGAUGGCGGCAUCGUUUGCAAAUGCCAUGUACGAGCGGUUGCCGUUAGAAAUCGAGGAGGAAGUGGCAGCGGCGGUCGAGGGGCAGCAACCAGUGGUUUCGCAGUCGUCAGGUGUUACCGUCAGUGGCGGUGAAGGAGGUGGCGGUGGAGUCGGUGCCGGCGGCGUUCCUUUCUACACUUUGGGUGGGGGAAACAUGGGGAAUUAUCAGCUUCCGGGUGAUCCAUAUGGGUGGGGUGGUGGUGUUCGGCCACCGUUUUGAUUCCACAAGGAGUCUACUACUACUGCUAACUGAUGUCCGUUAUAUACACACUACCAUCAAAGAAGAAGAAGAAGAUUAAAUGGGGUUCAUACUUUUUCUUUCCGAUCAUUUUGGGUGUGGAUUCGAAGAUGGUUUCUUUGAACCACUUUUCUGAUUCCGUUGGUGAUGAUCGUGUCAUCGGAGGCAUGUUCUUAUAUGAACAAAGGAAAGAGUUGGGAGAGAGAGGAGCAGAAGGGACUGCUUGAAGAAUGCUUCCCGAACUAAGUAGCUUCAGUUUGCAUGUAAUAACACAAAUUACAGGCAUCUCCGGAGAGUCCUCCAGGUUUAAACAUUGUUUCUCUAGCCUCGGGGAGAGGAUUUUACCCCCUUAAGACCAACACUGGCAAGACCUUAUGCACUGGACUUUUUGUUCUCUUUGUUUCUUUUUGGUUGCUUAUCAUUACUGUCUCUCUAAGAGUUGUUUUAUUGGAAGGUAACAUGAAGUCUUUCCUAUUGCGGACAGACAUCAUUCUAACACUUGCGACGACGGCUGGGUUUAGGCGCAUACGCAGGUUUUGUAGUACCAUCCGCCAAUUAUUAGAGUCAUCAGUGCGAACACGGUGGAGUGGAUAAGCAAAAUAUAUCUGUCAUUCCUAAACUUGGAAAUGUCUCUUUGGUGGCAUCCACUGUAGCAUUAAUGGACGAGCAACAGGUUGUCCAAAUCAAGUUGGUAGUCAGUCGGUGAGAAAAAUAUCAUUGUUCGAAUUGUUGCAUUCUUUUCUCAAUCUUUUUUGUGUCAGGAAAGAACAACAUUUUGUUAAAUUUGUAAACAUUUUUAAAUU